rnacentral:rRNA from 1 species
UACGUAGGCAGCGAGCGUUGUUCGGAGUUACUGGGCGUAAAGAGCUCGUAGGUGGUUUGUCGCGUUGUUCGUGAAAACUCACAGCUUAACUGUGGGCGUGCGGGCGAUACGGGCAGACUGGAGUACUGCAGGGGAGACUGGAAUUCCUGGUGUAGCGGUGGAAUGCGCAGAUAUCAGGAGGAACACCGGUGGCGAAGGCGGGUCUCUGGGCAGUAACUGACGCUGAGGAGCGAAAGCGUGGGGAGCGAACAGG